AACGAACGCUGGCGGCGUGCUUAACACAUGCAAGUCGAACGCGAAAGUCCCUUCGGGGGCGAGUAGAGUGGCGCACGGGUGAGUAACGCGUAGGAACGUACCUAAGGGUGGGGAAUAACCACGGGAAACCGUGGCUAAUACCGCAUAAUAUCGCAAGAUCAAAGGAGGCCUCUACUUGUAAGCUUCCGCCGUUAGAGCGGCCUACGUCCUAUUAGCUAGUUGGUAGGGUAAAAGCCUACCAAGGCGAUGAUGGGUAACUGGUCUGAGAGGAUGAUCAGUCACACUGGAACUGAGACACGGUCCAGACUCCUACGGGAGGCAGCAGUGGGGAAUCUUGCACAAUGGGCGAAAGCCUGAUGCAGCAACGCCGCGUGGGUGAAGAAGGUUUUUCGGAUUGUAAAGCCCUUUCGGCUGGGAAGAAGGGCGGAGUGGUUAAUACCCACCUCGUCUGACGGUACCAGAAUAAGAAGCACCGGCUAAUUCCGUGCCAGCAGCCGCGGUAAUACGGAAGGUGCAAGCGUUGUUAC
rnacentral:rRNA from 1 species